rnacentral:lncRNA from 1 species
AUCAUGUCAUCUUGCUUAAAGCGUUACUCUGUUCUUAUGAACUUAAUACUCUAGAUGCAUGCUGGAUAGCGGUCGAUGUGUGGAGUAAUAGUAGUAGAUGCAGGCAGGAGUCGGUCUACUUGUCUCGGAGGUGAUGCCUAUAUACAUGACAUACCUAGAUAUUCUCAUAAUUAUGCUCAGUUCUAUCAAUUGCUCAACAGUAAUUUGUUCACCCACCGUAAUAUUUAUGCUCAUGAGAGAAGCCACUAGUAAAACCUAUGGCCCCCGGGUCUAUUUUCCAUCAUAUUAAUCUCCCGACAACAAGCUAUUUCUGGCACUGUUUUUAUUUUGUUUUCUUUACUUUGCCCAGGUUCAGCCGCUCUCAAUGAGGUAAAAGCCUACUCUUGCUUUAGGUUGUAUUGCUUGAGUUUCGAUUACCAGGGAUCGAAUACGCUUGACCUAGUUCUCGAUUGAUUCUUACUUGAGUUAACCCAUCGCCGGGUCACCCCUUUAUAUACAGGUUGAUGCCCGGCGGCUUACAGAGUCCGGGCCGGCUCACACAAGUGUGACCGGCUCGGCUUCUAACUAAACUUGCCUUACAGAUCAAGUUAAACAUAUGGCGGCUCACACCCGUGGGCCUCAAGUUGUCCCCGGGUCUUGGACCUUCAAUUGGCUUGCUUUAUGAACCGCUAACUUCAUAUCUCCUUGGACCUUAUCGGGCUUCUUCACCUAUGAGCCGCCAGUGGUAUGUGUCGGAUGUGGGGUUCCGGCAAACCCUUAAGGUUCGAACUCUGGGUGCGCGCGAAGUCUUUCCCUCCUACCGAUCCACGCCCUAGCUCGCUAAGAUCUUGUGGACGAACUCGACGAACUCGCAACAUGGAAAGACAUGAGAUUUAUACUGGUUCGGGCCACCGUUGUGGUGUAAUACCCUACUCCAGUGUGGUGGUGGUGGAUUGCCCCUUGGGCUGAUGAUGAACAAUACAAGGGGAAGAACAGCCUCCUGAGGUUGAGGUGUUCUUGUGCUGGCCGAACUGGUGUGAGUCUGUACCCGGUGCCCCUACUGUGGUAGCUAGCUCUACUUAUACAGGCCCUGGUCCUCUUCCCAAAUAUUGAGUAGGAAGGGAGCCAACAACGGCGGGCGAAUUUGAAGGGGGACAGCUAGUACGAGCUAUCCUCACAAAAGUGGUCUUCGCCUGCGAAAAGCUCUGGUGGUGACGCCGUCUUGGGCUCCACGGUGACCUCCGUCCUGCCAUCCUUCUAGUCUCGGUCUCAUUGCACCGAUAUGGCAACCUUUGCUUGAUGCCUCGGUACUCCUCGCCUGCGCCGGCCUCCUUAGAACAAAAGAGGAAACAAGGACGCUGCGCGCUGGCGCCCGCCUGGUCUUGAUCGUCAUGGCUCACGUCACGAGAGCCUCGUGAGGUUUGCCCACCUUGAUAUCUCCGCUCCUCGUGAGCCUGCCUGGCCAGGCCACUCCUGAGGAGGUCUUGCGUCGUCCGCCUCGCGAGGCUUGGCCCCUCGCGAGGGUCUUGGAUGCCUUGUUGAUGAAGAUGGGCGGUACGGCCCGCUGGCUUAGCCACGCCGUGGGCCGCAGGCAGGCAAGUCUGGAGACCCCCAUUCCCAGAACGCCGACAGUAGCCCCCGGGCCCAAGGUGCGCUCGGGCUUGGCUUCGCGGCGAAGCCAAGGGUCAAGUACGGAGCACCGCGGGCCCGAGCCUGCGGCCUCGAUUGACGCAUGGCGGUUGAUUGGACGUGGGCGUCUUCGCUUCCCCAUGCUGCCCUUGAAUCCGCUUGGCUAUGCGGCCCCCGCAUCUCACACAGUUAUUCUUCCUUCGCCCACGCCUGGCUCCUCCAAUCUCCCUGCUUCCUCGAGACCCCGCUUUGCCCUUCCAAUCUGACUUGUGCCCCGCCUGCUUCAUCGCCAUGGCGUCGAAACAGGCUGAAAAGGGGAAGAAACCUCUGUCUUUGCCAGCUGCGCCUCCGUCCUUUCAGCCUGCGCUCGGCCGGCCUUGGGUGCUCAACAACGAGGCCAUGGACAAGGUGCGCCCCAUGCUUGCUUCCAGUUUCCACGAGUGGGGAGACAGUGGCUUGGCCCGCGUCUCGCACUCGCAUGGCUCGGGCAGCCACUGAGGUCCCGAUCUUCAUAGAUGCCCUCUGGGCUGGCCUGAUUCCUCCCUUCUCCGCCUUCUUCAACGCGGUGCUCGAGCAUUAUCAGAUCCACAUGCUUCAUCUCGACCCUCAAUCUAUGACCCUUCUUGCCGUCUUCGCCUUCUUGUGCGAGGCCAUGGUGGGCAUCGCUCCUUCUGUGGCCCUCCUCCGCCAUUUCUUCUCAUUGCAUCUGACCGGUCCCCGACAGAGCUCGGGGUGCGUGGGCUUCCAAGCCAUGGCCGCGACAGCGGGCGCGGGGAUUGACUUCGAGCUUCCUUCAUCCACGAGUGAGUUCCGUACACGACGGGUGUUUGUUGACGCCGACGUGCUCAGCCCUCUACUCCAAGUUCCAGCGGGGCCUGCCAUUCUGAACUCUGGCUGGGGCCAUCAGAAACUCACGAGCCCCCGCCUUGCCCCCGUCUGGGCCAGGCUGAGGAGGUUGAAGGACCGCCGCGUGACUGCGCCUAUGGUGGGACUUGCUUAGCAGCCAGGACCAUAUGAGGUUUCAGGAGAAGGGGCUUCCUCUUGCGACGCGGCAAACGGUGCUCACGAUCCUACCGGGUGUCCCUCUGCCGGACGACAUGCCCAGGAAUAGCUGCCUGCUGUACCGCUGCGAGAACAAAGCCGCAUCUGCCGCGAGCAUGCCUUCCUUUGAUGAGUGGGGGCUGCGCCCAAUCGGCUUGGUGGGGUCCCGCGAGAAUCCCAUCGACGUGGUUCCCUUCCUCGCCGCCGGUGCCGAGCUCGCCCCAGGUGAAGGUGUGGGAGGGCGAGCUCCGACGGGGGCCGGUGGCUCGAGUGCUGAGGAGCACAUGCUGAGUGGUGAUCCUGGGGCGUCGUCCUCGGGGGCUUGCGACCCCUCUCCUGAGGCGUCGGUCACCGAGGAGACGCGGCGUGCGGCUCCCGAGGCCAAGGCUCCAGGAGCCUCGGGAGGUUGUGGUGAGACAGCGCCCGGCUGUUCGCCGCAACCGGGCACCCCUGAAGCUGUCCUUCCCAGCUCUUCUUCGGCCCCGCCGUGCACCGGCCGUCACGUCCAGCGCUUCGGUCGUCUUUGCGUGGACUUCGAGGAGCUCCGCAAGAGGAAAGGAUCCCCUUGGGCAGCAACAUCUUCGGGCCGUUGAAGCGACGGAAGUACAUCGCCAUUGACGCAUACGUAUCUUAUUGUCAUGGCUUCUUGCGUGCAGUCUUCUUAUCCUGACGUCAAUCCUUCAGGGCUCCUUCCGUUGAAGCUGUUGCGUCUCCUGAGAAGCGGCCUCCCCCUUCCGUGACUCCCCCAUCGACCUCAAGCGUUCCUGGUCCGCCUGCCGCCCCUGGAGCAGGGUCGGUUGAGGGAGCGUUUCUGCCUUCGUGGCGCACUGAGCCUGCGGCUUUGUCGCCCCUCCCCCACGGUCUGGUGUGGAGCUUGGCGGGCAUGCCCAAGACCCCUCCUUUGGUCAUGGACAGUAGCUGGUUGGCUUCGGUCUUGGGUUCCUCUUCAAGCAGCGAGCCCCGAUUGGCUUGGGCUCCUCGCGAGGACUGGUUGACGUCAGGUGCAGCGCCAGCCCCCAGCCCCCUGCCGAGAGGUGGUGCACCGCUUGGUGCCCCGCCCGCAGCCCCCGAGGCGAAGGACGAGGUGGACCGAGCAUUCGAGCUCGAGCGCGGGCGGAGCAUGGUUCGUCACGAGCUCUUCCAGGAGGCAAUGGGCGCAAUGAGCCGACUUGGUGAAGAUCUCACGGGUGUCGACUCGCGCCUUGAGGCUGAAGGUCUCCGAUUGGCGGAGGAAUGGCGCAAGCUGAGGGUGGCUAUCAACCUCAGCCGCUACCAGCGCGAUCUUGACAAUGCGAAGGUUGAGGCAUCUCUUAAGGUUUCCCGCGAGGCUUGUUCCCGAGCCUUGGAGGAGGCUCAUGAGGCCGACCGCCAUCGCGAGGCCGCAGAGAAGCGCGCGUGGGAGCUCCACGCCUGGAGAGCGUCCCUAGAGCAGCAAGUGGAGGCGCGUAGAGCCGCCCUUGCGUCGCUGAGGGGGGCGUCUGUCAAGGAGGAAGAGGUCCAGAAGCGCGCGGAGGCAUUGGCGCUGGAGGCCGUGGAGCGCAGCCUCGAGCUUGAACAAUUGGAGACGAGGGAGCGCCAAGUCACCCAAGCAGAAGAUGCCGUCGGGGUUCGCGAGGCCAGGGUCCAGGAGGAGGUGGACCGCCGGGUGGCCGAGGUUCGCGCAGAACUGGAGGGAAGGUAUGACUUGAAGUUGAAGCUUGCAGGUACGGAGGGUGCGGGCAGGGCUGCUGCCCUCAGGCCCAGGUUGGACGAGGCUGAGAGGCGUGCGGAGGCCACGGCUGCCACCCUGGUCACGGCGCAGGCGGACUUGGCGUCCUCCCGCGCCGAGCUGCUUUCUCUCCGGAAGCAGGUCAAUGACACCGAGGCCGUCGCACGGCAAAAUAGGGAGGAAGUGCUCCAACGUCUGACGCUGGAGCGCGAGCAUGCUCCUAUGCUUCAAGAUCUCCGGAACAGGGCCAACACCGCCCUGGGCUACAUCUGCGACGAGAAUGCUCUUGCCCCCCACUCGAAUGACUAUGCCAGCCACCUGACCUUCUUCACCGACGUGGUGACGCGCCUGGAAACCCGGUCUGACAGGGCUCGCCGGCUCGUGGAGGAGAGAAGUCGGGGCCUGCUCGGGCGCGCGUUCUCCCGUGUCUUCAGCCACCUCAGGAACACCUUCCCCGACUUCGACCUCAACGCCGCCAUUGCCCCCGUACUACAGGCCGUCCGGGGCGAUCUGGCGCGGUGGGUGGAGGAUAACGGGACGCGCUGGUCAGAGCCUUUGCCUCCGACGAUGACGCGGUGGUGGUCGCCGCAGAUGAAGGCGACGUGGUUGAUGACGGUGACGGAGGCGUCGCCGAAGGCGGGAUGGUGCCGGCGAAGAUGACAACGACGCGAGUGAAGCGUCCGAGGGCGAUGCAGCGAGUGACAUAUCUGGUUGAUCCCAUGUCCCCUGUCGUUUUACCCUGUAGGCAAAAACUCGGGCGUGGCCCUUGGAAAACUGGUAAGAGCAUUUUAAGAGGGGAAGCCCCUCAUGUAAGCAGGUUGCAGCCUUUACUUUCCUAUGCGGUAUUGAAUCUGUGCCCUCGUGGACUCAUGAGUCCGGGUGCGAGUUCCCCGUCGGGGUUUACCUUAGUCAGCCCCAGCCUUGAGCUGGGUCACGAGGCUACGAGUUUCUGAGAAUCCUGCAGAGCUUGUCAAUCUGUUAGAAGGGGCCCCGCAAGAGGCAGGCGCCAGUUGCAGCAUUAGCGCGUGCUUGGCACUCGUGUGCUUCGCGCAAUCCCGCUCGCGAGGGGCUCGUGAGGGGAAGGCGACGGACAUGAGUCCCAGACUAAACGAAAUCCAGAAAGCAAGAAACUGUUUGAACGAGAAGAGGCACCCCCCUGCGCGCAUCGACAAAAACUCGGCUUCAACUUAAAUCCGGAUCCAGAAAGCAAAGCUACAGAAAGAGAGCUCCAAAGCAAAUGGCCGCGUCCGGCACCUAGUCUCUUCUGGUCUUCAAGUCUUCUCACCAGCGCGGAGCUAAGUGCUGUCACUAGGCGUGGGAGGGAGCCCCAGGGCCUGAGGCCGGCACCCCUGAGACUCCGGGGCGUGUACAGCCCCAACUCAUUAUUACGUGAGAGUGUCACGGGCGGCGAGCUUCACAGGCACUGGGCCUUCUUCACAGGUACCGGCCUUGCUUCAUAUCGCCAGACGAGGGCUCCGCCUUGCGCCACCCUCGACCACCUUUGAGCCGACCGGCAACCUGGACGACACAAAGGGGGGAAAGGGGACGCCAGUGGUGCCCUCGGCGACCACAGGUCCUCUGCCGGGGGAAGGGUCGUCGAAGCCUCCCCGGCAGAGGGCCUACCUCCGGGUGUCCCCUGGCUUCACGCGCCGUGGGGAGGGGCCAGGCUCCCGACCCCUCUCCUGCAGCCCCCAACACGAUCCCCCUGCUGGCAGGGAGGCCGCCGAGCUAGGGCCGCCAGCCGUUGUGGUGAUCUGUUCCUCCUGCGACUCAUGGUUAGCGUAAGCUUGCUCCUGAGGGAUUAGGGGUACCCUGUAGUGGUCGUUGCACACGCGGUCGUGGUGGUUCCCCGGCGGCUCCUGGAAGGCUUCGACUCCUAGCGCCCCUUCUUCCCAAUCUUCUCCAACGAACGAGCCGGGGUCGUCCUCCGGUGUGUACUCCUGGUCCGUCAUGCAGGGCACGUAGGCUUCCGGGGCUGUUACCCCGAACACCUCGCCGUAGUGCCCCACACUCCAUAUUGCCCGGCCUAGCGUGGCGUCCUGAGGAUAGUAGCGUGGCAUCUCGCCGGGACCAUGGGGGGCGACGCUUGUGCCCGUGCUUGUCGCGGGCGGUAUGGGGGCGGCGGAGCCCCCGGCGCCGCCGGCCGCACUGGUGUUGACGAAGCCCCCAUGCGCGCCCGACGGCGCGUGGUUGCGGCGAGGCCCACCAUGAGGCCCCGUAUCGGCCUGAGAAGGGAGCCGAUAGCAGAAAGGCGGCGCUCCCGAGGCUGCCGCGUCCAGCAGCGCGUCCCGGCCGCUCUCCAUCAGCCGGCACCGCAGCAGCUCCCUUGCCACGGUAAGUGCCGCCCGCAUGUUUGCCUGCUCCCGCCGCGAGUGCGGCGCCGUCGCCGCGGCGUGGCUUGCUGCCCUUGCAGCGGCUCGUACCUGUCGUGGAGUGAGGGUGGACGACGCCUGGCCGCGCCGCCCGCGCCCCGCAGCGUUGAACGGCGCCCGCGCCGCUUGGAGCGCGGGGUCGAGGUCUUCAUGAGCAGGCGUCGUUGCCCGGGCCGGCUAGGCUGCCCAGCGGUCGGAGUCAGCUCUUGGGUCGCCGGACAUCUUGACCGUGGAGCAUCGGCAAGUGGAUUGUAGAGGAAGAAGCUCCGGCGCACCCCUACCUGGCGCUCCAAAUGUCGGAUGUGGGGUUCCGGCAAACCCUUAAGGUUCGAACUCUGGGGUGCGCACGAAGUCUUUCCCUCCUACCGAUCCACGCCCUAGCUCGCUAAGAUCUUGUGGACGAACUCGACGAACUCGCAACACGGAAAGACAUGAGAUUUAUACUAGUUUGGGCCACCGUUGUGGUAUAAUACCCUACUCCAGUGUGGUGGUGGUGGAUUGCCCCUUGGGCUGAUGAUGAACAAUACAAGGGGAAGAACAGCCUCCUGAGGUUGAGGUGUUUUUGUGCUGGCCGAACUUGUGUGAGUCUGUACCCGGUGCCCCUACUGUGGUAGCUAGCUCUACUUAUACAGGCCCUGGUCCUCUUCCCAAAUAUUGAGCGGGAAGGGAGCCAACAACGGCGGGCGAAUUUGAAGGGGGACAGCUAGUACGAGCUAUCCUCACAAAAGUGGUCUUCACCUGCGAAAAGCUCUGGUGGUGACGCCGUCUUGGGCUCCAUGGUGACCUCCGUCCUGCCGUCCUUCUGGUCUCGGUCUCGUUGCACCGAUAUGGCAACCUUUACCUGAUGCCUCGGUACUCCUCGCCUGCGCCGGCCUCCUUAGCACCAAAGAGGAAACAAGGAUGCUGCACGCGCUGGCGCCCGCCUGGUCUCGAUCGUCAUGGCUCACGUCACGAGAGCCUCAUGAGGUUUGCCCCACCUUAAUAUCUCCGCUCCUCGUGAGCCUACCUGGCCAGGCCACCCCUGAGGAGGUCUUGCGUCGUCCGCCUAGCGAGGCUUGGCCCCUCGCGAGGGUCUUGGAUGCCUUGUUGAUGAAGAUGGGUCGUACGGCCCGCUGGCUUAGCCACGCCGUGGGCCGCAGGCAGGCAAGUCUGGGGACCCCCGUUCCCAGAACGCCGACAGUAUGACCCGGCCCCUCCUGGGCGGGUCAUACCCAGUAGUUAUACCCCCAACACCCUCCAUCACCGGCCGAUGGACGACCACCUCCACCUACGAUGCUUACAUGGUGGAUACCCCCAAGGACAAUGGCAAUGGCACUAACAACGGGGACGGCACCCCUAGGAGAGAUAGCAACAAGCCCGACGAAGAGCCGCUCGAACAUCGUAAACAACGCCGACGAUUUAGGGGGCAUCGGGGUAGGGAAAGCAACACGGGCGCCGGAGAAGACGACACCCCGGACAAUAUGGAAGACCUCGACAACCCUGCUCCCGCCGAACAACAGCCGGACAAUUCGGAGCAACGCGAGGAGUAGUUUGAUCCCGAGGACCUCAUUGACUCUGGAGACAGUUCAAGGGCACCGCUAGUGGAUUCAUGACACCUUACAUCGUGUGAGGGCAUGAGGAGAGUAUGGUGAGUCCGUGGGACGCUAGGGGAUCACUGUGCCUCCACACCCCUCCAACGGAUACGUACCUGAUGUCUACUAGGAAAAUUUAUUCUUGUAGACUCGUGUUGAGCCUCCAAGCGCAGAGUUUUGUAGGACAGUAGCAAUUUUCCCUCAAGUGGAUGACCUAAGGUUUAUCAAUCCGUGGGAGGCGUAUGAAGAUGGUCUCUCUCAAACAACCCUGCAACCAAAUAACAAAAAGUCUCUUGUGUCCCCAACACACCAAAUACAGUGGUACAUUGUAUAGGUGCACUAGUUCAGCGGAGAGAUGGUGAUACAAGUGUAGUAAUGAUAGUAGAUAUUGAUUUUUUUAAUAGGAACAAUAAUAAACAACAAGGUAGCAAGUAAAAAAAGUGAGCACAAACGGUAUUGCAAUGCUUAGAAACAAGGCCUAGGGUUCAUACUUCCGCUAGUGCAAUCUCUCAACAAUGCUAAUAUAAUUGGAUCAUAUAACCAUCCCUCAACGUGCGACAAAGAAUCACUCCAAAGUUCUUAUCUAGCCGAGAACAUAAGAAGAAAUUGUUUGUAGGGUACAGAACCACCUCAAAGUUAUCCUUUCCAAUCGCUAUCGAGCUAUCCCUAUAAGUGUCAAAACAGCCCAAGAGUUCGUACUAAAAUAACACCAUAUGAUAGACAUCAACCAACUUUAAUGUCACCUAGAUACUCCAAUGUCACCAUGAGUAUCCGUGAGUUGAUUAUUCGAUAUGCAUCAAACAAUUUCAGGUUCAUAAUACUCAGUCCAGCACAAAGAACCUCAAAGAGUGCCCCAAGAUUUCUAUCGGAGAAACAAGGACAAAAAUGUGCAUCAACCCCUAUGCAUAGAUUACCCCAAUGUCACCUCGGGAAUCCGUGAGUUGAGUGCUAAAACAUAUAUCAAGUGAAUCAAUAAGAUACCCCAUUGUCACCACGGGUAUUCAUAGCAAGACAUACAUCAAGUGCUCUCAAAUCCAUAAAAGUAUUCAAUCCGAUAAUAAUGAAAUCUCAAAGGGAUAACUCAAUUCAUCACAACAAGAUAGAGAGGGAGAAACACCAUAUGAUCCAACUAUAUUAACAAAGUUCGUGAUACAUCAAGAUCGUGCCAAAUCAAGAACACGAGAGAGAGAGAGAGAUUAAACACAUAGCUACUAGUACAAAACCUCAGCCCUGAGGGUGGACUACUCCCUCCUCAUCAUGGUGGCCGCCGGGAUGAUGAAGAUGGCCUGUGGUGAUGAUUUGCCCCUCCGGCAGGGUGCCGGAAUAGGGUCUAGAAUGGUUUUUCGUGGCUACAGAGGCUUGCGGCGGCGGAACUUCCGAUCUAGGGUUAUUUUUGUUUUUUUGUAUUUAUAGGAUUUUUUGGCGUCGGUCUCACGUCCAGAUGGGCCACGAGGUGUCCACUACCCACCAGCCCAAGGGCAAGGCCCCUGGCGCACCCUGGUGGGUAGUGGCCACCUCCUUCACCUUCUGGUCCUCACACGAAGCUUCUAGUGCCUCUUUUGUCCCAAAAAAAUCGUCAAAAAGUUUCGUUGCAUUUGGAGAACUUUUGUUUCUGCACAAAAAACAACACCACGGUUCUGCUGAAAACAACGUCAGUCCGGGUUAGUUCCAUUCAAAUCAUACCAAAACCAUAUAAAAUUGUUGUAAACAUGGCAUGAAUACUUUAUAAAUUAUAGAUACGUUGGAGACGUUUCAGUACCCUCCAAAGGAGGGAACUUCGAAAACACAUCCUCGUCUUCACUUGCGGUUACUUCUAUCAUUUACUUUGUGCAAGCUUAUUAUCUUGUGUUUUCUCUUUGCUUGUACUUGUUGUUUGUUGAGCUUGUCAUAUAGGUUGUCCACCUAGUUGCAUAUCUAGAAAACCUAAUUUAUUGUUGAGUCUAAAAUUUGGGAACGAAGUUAAAAAUUGUCAGUCGCUUAUUCAACCCCCUUCUACUCGACCAUACCAAUCGUUUCACUCCGGGCACUGAAUUAAUAGGUUAGUCCAGAAAAACAAUAAAAAUUGCUAUAAAAAGUAUACAAAAGUGGUAUGAUAAUAACAUGAAACAACCAAAAAUUAUCUAUAUGUUUGAGAUGUAUCACGCCCCUAGGCACCGUGUAGUCGUCUCCUGGCCAGUCAUCCCCGGCGGAGGGGCCGCCACCGUUGCCGUGUUCGGAGCCAUUGCUUCGGGGACCUUGCAUCGUAUACCAACCACACCCCUUGCCGGAUCUACCGUCCCCGUGUUGCCGGGAAGAACGUCGCAUGAGGGGGGUCUCACGCUGCCGUGCACUACCCCUUCAGACAACCACGCCACGGUUGUGAGAUGCCAGAUCCCCGUCGCUCCCUUCACAGGCGGCGUGCGAGCUUUCCUAGCGGCCGCCUUUGGGGAUGACGAGGGGAGAGGGGAGGGAGGAGGGGGGUAGGGUUUGCUGUCUCGGUCACCCUGGGAGGCGAAGCGAGGGAGGUCUGUGAUCAUUUCUUCAUGUUGUUUAGCCAUAUCUUAUAUCUUUGAGCACUUUCCAAAUUUUCUGGGUUAAAUCAUUCUAUAUGAGUUCUAUAAUUUUUUUACAAUCUCUGUUGAGCCGAGAAAAGCUUCAUAGAAAUUUGUCAUUCCGGUGCUCAAAAUUCCUAAAACAAAAGGGGAGGUUUACGAUCUCCCAUAUCUAUAUACACUUAUAUUUUGGUGAAAGUUUUGAGAUGGCUAACCUCUCAUUUCGAGCGGUAUAUGUAAAUACUAGAAGUCAUUUUAAAUGCCAAUGAGAUAGUCCUCCGUUUCUUUUUCUUUUUGCGGGUCCGAUAGUCCUCCAUUUCAAUGAAUAAGGCGCGCGCACCUUAAAAUUUAAUUUUGACCACAAAUUAGACCAACCAGAUGCUAGAUUGCAAAAAUGUCUUAUAUUAUGGGAUGAAGAGAGUAGAUUAUAUGUAUGUGAUAAAAAUUAUACUGCUAGAUUCGUACCGAAAUAAAGUUUUCAAUGGUAUAAUUUUCAAGUCACAAAUAUAUAUAUUAUUGAUAUAAUUUUUUUUAUCAAAGUUGAAUUUUGGAAAACGUGUGCAUCUUAUUCAUUCGAAUGGAGGGAUUACCAGGCUAAAAAUCAAAACUUGCGGAUGAAAAAGAACCAGCGAUUCAAAUUUGCGAGUCGGGGAGGGAUAGUGCAUGCCACAAUCCAGAGAUCCUCUCCCCUCUCUCUCUCCUCAGUCCUCAGUCGGCCAUGAGCUGACUUUUGCCCUCGGACCUCGGACAUCCUGUUCUCUCUCCUCGCUUUCUCUCUCUUGCCCGUUCUCCCAAUAGUUCUGUCCCUGUCCCUCCCCCAAAUUCCCCGACCCACCGCUCCCAAAUCCCAUCCAAAUCCCUCCACAUCCUCCAAGGAUCGGAUUUUCGGAGGGCCUCCGCCCCCAGAUCGGGGAGGGAUCCCCGUUUCCUCUGGUGGGUCGGUCCCCGCCGUCCUUUUCUUGAUCUUUUUCCUGGAGGGGAGGUUCUUGGAUGGGGUGCCUGCCGUGCUUCGGGUCGAGCGGCAAGGGGGAGCCUGCCAAGAAGGGCGGCGCGCGGAAGGACGUUCCGUCGGAUCGCCGCGCCACGGGGGUCGGAUCAGGUGUGAUUCUUGGGCGGAAGGCUGGAUCUUGGGCUGGUUUAUUUUUUUUUGGAAAUGGUCCUUAAUUUCCCCCGGUUUAGUCAGCUGAUGCUCACAGUGCCAAGAUUUGAGUGGACCAGAUUAAGAAAUUUGCCAAUCUCCCUUGUCUUCGGAAAUCUUUUUAACACCUAUUCCAUGUACUGGAAGCUUCAGAUAGAGAGCAACGUCAUGUAGUACUAGGGGCAUUUCUAUUCAUGUUAGUGCAUUUGAUGGCAUGAAUGGUUGCGGUAUCUAUAUGUCUUUUCGAGGAGUCUAAGAGUAAUGUUUUUGGAUCGGCUAUAUAGGUUUAUUGCUUCUGGAAACUUAUAAAUUAUAGAAGUGAUGCACUUUGACUAUAUGUUCAUGGACUAAUAUGUGGUUAUUUUAUGAUGCUUGCAAUUUCCAACUCGGUAGAGUGACGGAAGUGUUGUAUGAUGCGGAUGUCUGAACGUGUCUGCCUUAUAAACUGUCUGGCAGGACAUUUGUUGAGAGUUAAGAUGCUUAAUUAGAAGUACUUGCAAUCCCCUAGGGACUACAAAAUAAAAAGGAUGAACAACUGAGGUUUAGCUCCCUUUAGGAAGCGCCUUUUAUGUUCAUUUCGUACGGUUAAAUGUUGACCUUUGGAAGCAUUCUUUCUAUUUGACUCGUCCUCAAAGAAGUACAGAUGGAGUAGUUACUUUCCUCUCACUAUGAUAAACUUACCACAAAAACUAUCCAAGAAGUCCUGGUUUGUGAUGGCCCUAAUUUCUAAUGCAUUUUGGGACACUUAGCUAAGUUCUUUUGUAGUUUUUCUGGCAUAGUUAUGCCUUAACUAUCGCAACACCCAGACUUUGCUUGCAAGCCUGUGAUUUUUUUACUACCUCCAUUAGUGACUUCACCCCAAAUAGUAAACUAUUUACGCCAUUACACAUAUUCUCUAGGACAAUGUGUCUCUUUUCUUUUACCAAGACAAAUACCAGGCCGCAGGAACAUUGUUGAUUUUAUGGUAAGUUGAAGGCCUAGGACAAAUCUAGAUUUUUUUGGCAAGUUGAAUUUUGAUCUUAGGUUUCUCUUGGCCAAAGCAUCAAUAACCUUAGUUUCUUCCUUUUUGAUACCUAUUGUUAAGAGUUAAAUGAUGUCAAUAGUUGACACCACAUUUGCUCUAAGAGGCUAGGAAUUUUCAAUUAAGCAGGGGAGGAAUAAAGAUUUAGUUUGUCACUACAUGUUUUAAUGACAAAGACCAGUCAUACACACACAUUAGGGUUGUUAUUGUUAAUCUUCUAUAUCGAAAAACAAAGUUACUUAGAAGGAAACACACAGUUUUUCCGUUAUUGAAAGAAAUAGGAAACCAAUUCAAGUUGAAGAGGAUUCAAAAUUGGAUGCUGAAUGUGAACAACCACACUUGCGACCAACUGAGCUCAGUUCCUACCAAUCAUGUUUAUGUAUAAGGUAUAGAAGUAUAUUUGGAGUUAUGGUAUUAAAGUUUUGAAAGGAAUCAAGUUGUGCUUUUGGAUACAAAGGCAAGCGUUCAAACCAGUUGCACAAUUGCAAAUGGUCUAUGGCCAGUUUUACCAUUUUAAUUAUUGUGUUUUGGGAGUAGUUCACCUUACCUAUGUUGCAUUCUUUAAUUCAUACGACCCCUAACUCUGGAUGUAUUUUUGCUUUAGAUAAACCAAAACCACAAGGUUUAUUGGAUUCUAAGAAGGAUACAGUUAUCCCAAGGGAGGGAAACAAUCAACAUAUUGCAGCACACACAUUCACUUUUCGUGAGCUUGCUGCUGCCACUAAGAACUUCAGACAGGAUUGCCUAUUGGGCGAGGGAGGUUUCGGCCGUGUAUAUAGAGGACGUUUGGACAAUGGACAGGUUUGGUUUAAUGUUUUGAUGCAUUCAGAUUUGGUGUGAAUCCUCAUUUUCAGCUAUUAAUUCCACUCGUUGAACUGCCAAUAUGACUGCCACAUCUCUUUUAAACUGGGGUUGAAAAAUUCCUUGUUAUAUGGUCUAGAUUGGGCAUUGAAGAAGACAUUUUCCUUGUUGUAACUCUUCAUUGCUGAGUUCUUGAUCACAACUUUAUUAUAUUGUCUACUGUGCAGGCUGUUGCAGUUAAGCAACUUGAUCGCAAUGGACUUCAAGGCAACAGAGAGUUUCUGGUUGAGGUCCUUAUGCUCAGUCUAUUGCACCACGAUAACUUGGUAAACCUAAUUGGAUACUGUGCUGAUGGGGAUCAACGUCUUCUUGUAUAUGAAUAUAUGCCGCUAGGAUCACUUGAGGAUCAUUUGCACGGUAAGUGUACUUCACUUAUGAACUUCUGUAAGUGCAUUACUGCCUACAUACAACUCCACAUCCAUGUAUUCAAAAGACUUUGUGCAUUGUAAAUGUCUCAUCUUUUAUUCUUGGUAAACAGUUGAGCAAUAAGCUAACCACUGUCUGGAUUGCUUCUUUGUUACCAAUUCUCGCCUUUAAGUCAUUAAUUUUUCUAAUGUCACGAUUUCUAUUUAAAUGAUAACAUCAAUACAUCUAACAACUUUGGUAAUAUCUUUUUGUCAUGACAAAUCCAACAAUUGUGUGUUAGGCCAAGGUUUUAAAGUGAACACAUGGAGUACUAGUUAAUACUACCUCCGUACCAAAAUAUAAGAUGUUUUUGCAGCUCAAAUUGAAUUGCAAAAACGUCUUAUAUUUUGAUACGGAGGGAGUACUUGCUUAAGCUUGCAGCUGCGUACUUGCAUUAUUCUUCUGUGGUUGUUGAUCUGGUCGGCUGGUCAUAUAUUCAACAGUUUUGAUAUGUAUGUUGUUGAACUCGUACUUAAUCAGUGUGUGAAUUGAUCUGCAUACUAAAAUCUAAGUUUUGCUGUAUCUCAUGGGAAGGUAAUCAGGUAGAGUUUUAGUGGUUACCUAGUUAGCAACUCAUAUUUAAUCAAGAGUGGAGGCUCAGUGAGGCAAAAGUUCUAAAGCUUAGUUAAAGGUCAAAUUGUUUGCAUACUAAAGUUGAAAUUUUGUUGUAUAUCAAUGGGAAGCUAGCAUAUGCGCCAUUUCUUGCAGAAGUCUUAUUUUUCAUUUGUUGUACAGAACAUAUUCAUGCACACUGGUAUUUCAACUUUAGUUUGUCAAUUCAUUCUGUCUCUGGUUGAUAGCAUGUCUGGGAUAACCUGCAAAUAUAUUAUAUAAUGACAGUUGAUACAUGGUUACUAUUUCCAGUCGUAAAUCAAAAAGGAAAAUAUUAUAUGUCUGAUCCUGACUCGGUUUACUGGGCAUUAUGAUCUUGCAAAGUCAACUCGCUUCUCUUUUUGUUGCAUGGUAGUAUGCUAAAUUGAUGUACGUAACCAUUAACUUUAAGUGCAUUAUUUCUUCUUUUGGCAUGCAUUGUGGUCACAACUUGGAGUAUUUUUUUUUUCUGAAAAGAAGGUUAAAUUUGGCAUCCUCGGAUGCACACAUGCUUUUUUUUAUUAAUAAAGAUGCCAGGCAUUGAGGCCAAAACAGAUUACAUAAACUGGCAAGUAAAGGUAGAAAAAAAAGAACACUUAAGACCAAGUCGACAUUCUUCAGAAACAAUGCCUUCAAGGAGAUUACACACAGGAGUGAUGUUGUAGGAAGUCGGAACCAACCGUUCAAGGCCAGACCGGGCAUUUUCAUCCUGGAACCAAGUCCAAUCACUCAAGGUCAGAUAUUUGGCACGGAGACAAUGCGACAACAAGACGACACACAUGCGCCCUUACUGGAUCCGGCCUGUGAAGGCCGAUCACGGGUUUUCACCUGAGAAAUAGAAGUGUUGACGUCGCUUGAAAAUCGUAGUGGCUUCCUCCGGAUCUAGCCGCUCAUGGCCACCACCGGAACUCCUUGCACUGACCCGGUAGAAGAUGCCCAAAGUAGUCUAGAAGACAUUUACAUUGUGUACACUGAUUCAAUGUGGUUUAUACGACAAUAGACUAAACGGCACUCCUUCCGUUCAUAAAUAUAAGAUGUUUUAGAUAUUUUAAUAUGGACUGCAUACGGACUGAAAUGGAUGAACAGACGCACUAAAAUGGGUCUAUAUACAUCCGAAUCAGAAAAAAGUUAGAACAUCUUAUAUUUCUGAACGGAGGGAGUAAUGCUUUGCAAGAUGCUAAAAUUGAAACCAGUAUUCGUUCAGUCACCCGCCUAGUAAGUACUAUAGGGUGGUUGACAUGAUUAUGCGGCAUAACUAGCAAUUGCAUCACGUGCUAAGUGGCUGACCACAUGAUUAUAAUUGCUAAUAUACAUUUGCAUAUUUACGCAAUUACAUGAAGAAGUCAUUGUUUUUGUAACAGGUGGCAUGUGGCAAGUGUUAGGAAAAUAGCAUGUGCAUGUGGCAAGUGUUAAGAAAAUAGCAUAAUCACUGGAACUUCUUCUGAAUUGAUUCAUAGUAGAUGUAGACAUGAUUUCUCAAACAACUACCUAUAUCUAUAUCCAGAUGCUCCGCAGAGUCAGAUGUAUGGAUCUGCUUCUUGUUGCCUACUAUUUUUGAUUUUUUUGUGCACUAUCAGUGUUCCCUUUUAAUGGAAAAUUUAGUCCCUUGCAAUCCCCAUUUACUAAUUUAAACAUAUCUCAGUUACCCUCUUUUUAGAUGGUAAAUUGUAAUGUUGUUGCACGCCAUUAUUGUCUAAUUAUUUUCAUUGCCGUAGAAUAAUGAAUAUUUGUGGGCUCAUUGCAUAUGUUCAAUGCAUUUCAAAGGCAGCUUGCCUAUCUAAUUUGAAUCUUUUUAUGUUAGACAUUCCACCUGAAAAGGAACCUCUUGACUGGAAUACACGGAUGAAGAUUGCUGCUGGUGCUGCCAAGGGAUUAGAAUACUUGCAUGACAAGGCAAGUCCUCCUGUUAUUUACCGGGAUUUCAAGUCGUCAAACAUUCUUCUUGGCGAAGAGUUUCAUCCAAAGCUAUCUGACUUUGGCCUUGCAAAACUUGGCCCUGUUGGUGAUAAGACCCAUGUUUCAACACGUGUUAUGGGAACUUAUGGCUACUGUGCCCCAGAGUAUGCAAUGACUGGACAGCUUACAGUUAAAUCUGAUGUGUAUAGCUUUGGUGUUGUGUUCCUUGAACUGAUUACUGGUCGUAAAGCAAUUGACAACACCAAACCACAUGGAGAGCAAAACCUAGUGGCGUGGGUAUGUUCUUCUAUUCUGUACUAAUUUUACUUCACAAAAUUGAUGUUUGCCAUCAAUAUAUUGUUCAUAGCUCAUGUUCUUGCACAUUCCACGAGCUAAGCAUAAUUUCUAUAAUAGCGUUGCUAAAAAUACUUUGAGAUACUAGCAAUAUAAUUGGACUAAGAUUUAGCUGUAGCACUAGUCCGAAAAAUAAAACAGUCUGAAGAAACUUAAAGGGAAAUUGUUUAAGCCGUUGCUACCAAAUCAGGAAUUUUUUAGGGACCCUUUCUUUCUUUUUUUUUUGCUUUGAUGAAUUACUAUCACUUGAGGGUCUUUAAUUUUCCAUUUCCUUCUCAGAUCAUAUUAUCCUUUUGAACUCUGAAAUUUUUAUUAUAGACUGCUAUUCACUGUUACUUCGUACACCACUGCUCUUAUUUUUUCUUGAACGCUGUCUCCAAAAGCUAUCAUGAUAGUAUGAUACCAUGAUGGAGUUAUUUAAUGUAUUAAGGUUAUGUUACUUACGAAUGGGCUGGCUGUUCAGUUGCUUAGGCUUGGCAUGAUUCUUGAACACUAGUGAAAUUGCUGCCUUCAGUACUGACCACUGAGAUUAGUUCCUCGGAUAUUUAUCGAUCCAUGUCAUUCUCAAUUUCACACAUCGCUGUUGUAAAAAAGAAUGCACUAAAAAUUAAGGCUAUCCAUAUCUAUACUACAUAGAGAAGAACGAGGGUUUGACACAAACAAUCUUAGCCAUCCAGUCUGAUCUUAUGAUUCAACAAAUAAGUUGGAUCCUUGAAUGUUAUUGCUUAAUUGAACAAUUAAUCCUCUAAUAACACCAUACUAAACAGCCUUCACAACCACUCUUUUCGAAUUAUGGAGAAAUGUUAUAGUACAAUGUGAGUGGUCAUAUUAUUUUUUAAAUAUUAUUAUGAAUGCGAAUGUAUGCUAAGUUCACAACUUUCCAAAAGAUUGAAUAGGAAUUCCUAAUUUGGUGAUACUGUAUGAGGGGAUUGAGUAUUAUAUAUUUAACAAAGCUUGCACAGUACAUGUAGAUCUCCUAGUUUUUUCUAAGGUUUAGGUGCUAAGGUUUGAUCAAUGUAUACAAACAGAAAGUAUAUAUUUCCUGCCAACUAUUGCAGCUCACUCAUUAUAUAAUGUUGGAUGCCUUAUGGUUGAUCUGAUAUGCAGGCUCGUCCUCUGUUCAAAGACCGCAGAAAAUUUCCAAAAAUGGCUGAUCCGGCACUUCAGGGCCGCUUUCCUAUGAGGGGUCUGUAUCAAGCUUUAGCCGUUGCUGCAAUGUGUUUGCAAGAGCAAGCUGCCACUCGGCCUUUCAUAGGAGAUGUGGUCACUGCUCUUUCGUAUCUUGCUUCUCAGGCGUAUGAUCCAAAUGCACCCACUCAACAUAGUCGGAGCAAUGCAUCUACCCCCAGAGCCAGAGACCGUGGUAGUGUGAACGGCGACCAGCGGCGUAUCCGGUCGCCAAAUCACCAUUCUCCAGAUCUGAGGAGAAAAGAAGUCACAACAACAUCGAAGUAUGAAGCCGAGGUUAGCAGGAAUAGUUCUGGUGGUGGUUCUGGUAGACGGUCAGGCUUGGAUGAUAGGGAUGUGACAGGUUCACAACAGGGUAGUCCUGCUCAGGCAGGAAAGAGGAGGGAAACUUCAAGGACCUCUGAGAGGCAGCGUGCUAUUGCAGAGGCUAAGACAUGGGGUGAGAAUUCUAGAGAGAGGAAAUGGCCAAAUGCUCGGGGCAGCUUCGAUAGUACAAAUGAAUAGAACUCUGGAGCAGAAGGUCUGAGUCAUCAUUCUAGAAAGAGGAUGAGUCGCAAGCCAGUACCAAGCAGGGGACAGUUUAGGGACAUGGGGUUCGAUUUCGGUUCCAUGUUUAAUGUGAAUAGAGCUUUCCUUUUCUUUCCCGGCCAUGACCACUGCUUCAUAGUUUCUCUCUUCCCCACAAAUAUCACCACCGCAAUCACCAUCGACACGCCUAUUCGUGGCGUCCGUUCCUCGUGAAUGUGAUCAUGCAGAUGUGCCUUCAUCAUCAUAUGGCACGAACGACAUCUGGCUGGAAAGUUAGUAAGCAAAGGGGAGAACUGUUCUGUGGACAUGAUCCAAUCAAAUGAGCCUCUUCUGUUGCCUGCAUGCAUGAUGGGUAUCACAGUUGUUCCGAGCGUAGAGCUUUAUUGUGAAGUCUGAGUACCGAGGGAUGUGAUGAUUUUUCUUUCCUCGAGGGUUUGUACCGAGGG